rnacentral:rRNA from 1 species
AUGGAGAGCACCCGCAAGAGCAAGUCCAUGGCCAUGGCAAAGAUCGUGGAGGAGGAGGAGCAGGAGGAGGAGGACGACGAGGCCGAAGACCCCAGCCUAAGCUGUGGCUGCUUCUUCUGCGCCAUCAAGCAGCCGGACGCGCGACUCCGCCGCGCCAGCGUCGCCGCGUUCUUCCGGGAGCUUCCUUACAGCGGGCACGACGACGGUGGGGCGGUCGCCGCCGUGUGGCGCGCGGCCAUGGACGCGCCCGAGGACCCGGAGCUCCCGUCGCUCGGCGCCAUCCGGUGCAUGUCCCUCCUCCUGGCCCGCGCGCUCGCCGACGCGGCGUGGUGCCGCCGCGUCCAGAACGCGUGCGUGCCGUACUACGCCGCCCACGUCGUCGGCUCCUACACCAUCCGCUCCUCCGCGCACGCCGAGCUGGCCGUAGCCGCCGGCGCCGUGCGCCCCUUGCUGGCCCUCCUCGGCGGCGCCAUGACGUGGGUCGAGCGGCGCGCCGCCGCGCGCGCUCUGGGCCACCUCGCCAGCUACGACGCCACGUUCCCCGCCGUCGCGCGGUGUGCCGACGAGGCGGUGCCUCUCGCCGUGCACGCCGCGUCCACGUGCAUCGGCGAUGUGUACGCGAACUACGUCGCGCUGGCGCCGAGCAAGCGUCCUAAGUACCAGCGCGACCUCUUGACGCGCGGGCUCGCCGGUGGUGGCAUCGACGCAGCCGAGGACCGGAAGGCCGAGGAAUGGGCGAGCCAGCUCCAGUGCUGGUCGCUCUACUUCCUGAGCUGCCUAGCCUCUAGAGACCCGUCAUCUCAUGCCACGAUCUGCCAGGACCCCGGUUUCUUGAGCGAGCUGUGCCGGAUGUGGGGCGGGUUGGCCAACGGCGACUCGCCCGCAGGCGUCGGGCUGCUUCGCCUUCUCUGCCGAAGUGCCGUCGGCCGCGGCGCCAUCGCGGCGUGCCCAGACGCGCUCUCCGGCCUGUGCGACCUCGCGCGGUCGUCCGAUGACUGGCAGUACAUGGCCAUCGACUGCCUGCUCCUCCUUCUCGACGACCGCGAAACUUGGCACGCCGUCGCUAAUGCCACAGCGCCGUGCCUCGUGGACCUGGCCGAGCUCCGGCGUCUUGGUCCAAGGCGACGGCUCGGCGAUGCCAUAACAAACGCGCUGCUUCUUGACGAUGACGACGACGGCCAUGUACGUGUCCGCGCGCUAGGCGCGGAAGCAAAGGAAGCAGUUGCUAGCUUGCGCGAGGUAAAGAUCGAGAGGAAGGAGAGGGAAGAAGCAAUGUCUCGGGACGAGCUACUCGAGAGAAAGCUUCUGGCCAAGGAGAAGAAGAGACAAGGCAACGACAUGUUCUGGCACGGCGAAGUGGACAAGGCCAUCGAGCUCUACACGGAGGCGCUGGAGCUGUGCCCGCUGAGCGGGAGGCGGGAUCGUCUGGUGCUGCACAGCAACCGCGCGCAGUGCCGGCUCGCGCGGCGGGAGGCCGACGCGGCGGCGAGCGACGCGACGCGCGCGCUCUCGCUGGCGCGGCCGGCAAACGCGCACGCCAGGAGCCUGUGGCGCCGCGCACAGGCGUACGACAUGAAGGGCGGCAUGGCCAGGGAGAGCCUCCUGGACUGCCUGGCCUUCGCCGGCGCGUGGAUCGACGGCCGGAAGCACGGGAGGCAGCAGCCGGCAGCGCGCGGCGCCAACCAGCAGAAGCUACCGUACUGCGUCGCCCGGAUGAUCGGUAAGCAGAUGGGCGCGACGGGGCUCUUCGCCGGCGUGUCGGCAGGUGGUGGCAAGGUAGGAAGGGAUGAUCGCAUAGGUAGCGAUGAUCGCAUGCCACGAUGCAGCGACGGCGACGAUGAUUGCGACGACGAGGAAUAUGACGAUGGCGACGAUUGUGAUCAUGAUGGAAGCGAGGAGGAAUUCUACGACACUGAACUGAGGUUUUGUAGAUCAGGUAGCGGUUUGCCGAUCAUGGCAGAAGAGACUUGGAGCAGCAGAUUGGCCCCAAGGAAGAAGAAGAUGUGA